rnacentral:rRNA from 1 species
AGCGAACGCUGGCGGCAGGCCUAACACAUGCAAGUCGAACGGAACCUUCGUGAUUAGUUGCGGACGGGUGAGUAACACGUGGGAACGUGCCCGUUGGUUCCGAACACCUCAGUUUAACUUGAGCUAAUACAGGAUGUGCUAUUCGGGGAAAGGAUUUAUCGCCAUUGGAGCGGCCCGCGUCUGAUUAGCUAGUUGGUGAGGUAACGGCCCACCAAGGCGACGAUCAGUAGCUGGUCUGAGAGGAUGAUCAGCCACACUGGGACUGAGACACGGCCCAGACUCCUACGGGAGGCAGCAGUGGGGAAUCUUGCGCAAUGGGCGAAAGCCUGACGCAGCCAUGCUGCGUGAAUGAUGAAGGUGUUAGGAUUGUAAAAUUCUUUCAGCGGGGACGAUAAUGACGGUACCCGCAGAAGAAGCUCCGGCUAACUUCGUG